AGAUUAAGUUAUUAAGGGCGCACGGUGGAUGCCUUGGCACUAGAAGCCGAUGAAGGACGUUACUAACGACGAUAUGCUUUGGGGAGCUGUAAGUAAGCUUUGAUCCAGAGAUUUCCGAAUGGGGAAACCCAGCAUGAGUUAUGUCAUGUUAUCGAUAUGUGAAUACAUAGCAUAUCAGAAGGCACACCCGGAGAACUGAAACAUCUUAGUACCCGGAGGAAGAGAAAGAAAAUUCGAUUCCCUUAGUAGCGGCGAGCGAAAUGGGAAGAGCCCAAACCAACAAGCUUGCUUGUUGGGGUUGUAGGACACUCUAUACGGAGUUACAAAGGACGACAUUAGACGAAUCAUCUGGAAAGAUGAAUCAAAGAAGGUAAUAAUCCUGUAGUCGAAAAUGUUGUCUCUCUUGAGUGGAUCCUGAGUACGACGGAGCACGUGAAAUUCCGUCGGAAUCUGGGAGGACCAUCUCCUAAGGCUAAAUACUCUCUAGUGACCGAUAGUGAACCA
rnacentral:rRNA from 1 species